rnacentral:rRNA from 1 species
CUGGAACAGUGAAGUGCUUUACGAUUAGAAAGAGCCCGGUGACAGGUGCUGCAUGGCUGUCGUCAGCUCGUGUCGUGAGAUGUUGGGUUAAGUCCCGCAACGAGCGCAACCCUCGCCUUUAGUUGCCAGCAUUCAGUUGGGCACUCUAAAGGGACUGCCGGUGUCAAACCGGAGGAAGGUGGGAUGACGUCAAGUCCUCAUGGCCUUUAUGUCUAGGGCUACACACGUACUACAAUGGCAGGUACAAAGGGCAGCGACACAGCGAUGUGAUGCGAAUCCCGAAAAAGCCUGUCUCAGUCCGGAUCGGAGUCUGCAACUCGACUCCGUGAAGUUGGAAUCGCUAGUAAUCGUGGAUCAGCAUGCCACGGUGAAUACGUUCCCGGGCCUU